GCUAGUACAACCCUGUCUGUUAUAAAGUGUCCCAAGGUCUCAUGUAGUCUGGUCAGUAGCUAGUAGCAACCCUGUCUGUUAUAAAGUGUCCCAAGGUCUCAUGUAGUCUGGUCAGUAGCUAGUAGCAACCCUGUCUGUUAUAAAGUGUCCCAAGGUCUCAUGUAGUCUGGUCAGUAGCUAGUACAACCCUGUCUGUUAUAAAGUGUCCCAAGGUCUCAUGUAGUCUGGUCAGUAGCUAGUACAACCCUGUCUGUUAUAAAGUGUCCCAAGGUCUCAUGUAGUCUGGUCAGUAGCAAAUAGCAAC